CACUGACUCACUCUAGGCAUUAUUCAGCUUUCAAACACGGAACCCGCCCCUAAAAUCCAAGAUAUUAAAAACAUAGUCGGGUUUUCCCCAUUGUCGACGCGGCGUAUAGCUACAUGAACAGCAUAGCGUACAAGUUACGACAGAUAUUUGCUCGUAGGCGUGUUGUAAUCACAACUAUGCAUACUUGACAUCACGCGCUACAAAAUUUGGUGUGCACUUACAUUUGGCCGUUCCCCAAUGUAGGCCGUACACAUCAAACAAAUGACUUCAAGAGGCUAUCGUGCUAAAACGAAACAGUGAGGUAAAACCCCGACAGAUGCGAGUCUAUGAAACUACAUUUAGGUAAACGACAGGAAUGCAGGAAUGAGGAACGAGCAGAGCUGCGUAUAACGACAGUCAUUUACCUGAGGAGGGCGUGAUUGAGGCGAUGGGUGUGGCUAUGAUGCUGCUGGGAUUGAGAGCGGCCAACUGCUGCAUCUGGACCGCUGCAACCGUCGCCACCGGAGACAGAUAUGCAGA